rnacentral:rRNA from 1 species
UCACCAUGGCUGGCCAAGACCCAGCCGUCGAAAGUUGAUAGGGCAGAAAUUUGAAUGAACCAUCGCCAGCGCAAGGCCGUGCGAUUCGAGAAGUUAUCAUGAAUCACCAGAAAGCCCCGAGGGGCAUUGGUUUUUAAUCUAAUAAAUACAUCCCUUCCGAAGUCGGGAUUUUUAGCAUGUAUUAGCUCUAGAAUUACCACGGUUAUCCAUGUAGUAAGGUCAUAUCAAAUAAACAAUAACUGAUUUAAUGAGCCAUUCGCAGUUUCGCCGUAUAAUUGCUUAUACUAGACAGUCG